AGAGUUUGAUCCUGGCUCAGAUUGAACGCUGAUGCUUUACACUGCAAGUCGAACGGUAACAGGCCUUCGGGCGCUGACGAGUGGCGAACGGGUGAGUAAUGUAUCGGAACGUACCUUUCAGUGGGGGAUAACGUAGCGAAAGUUACGCUAAUACCGCAUAUUCUGUGAGCAGGAAAGCAGGGGAUCGCAAGACCUUGCGCUGAUUGAGCGGCCGAUAUCAGAUUAGCUAGUUGGUGAGGUAAAGGCUCACCAAGGCGACGAUCUGUAGCGGGUCUGAGAGGAUGAUCCGCCACACUGGAACUGACACGGUCCAGACUCCUACGGGAGGCAGCAGUGGGGAAUUUUGGACAAUGGGGGCAACCCUGAUCCAGCCAUGCCGCGUGAGUGAAGAAGGCCUUCGGGUUGUAAAGCUCUUUCGGCCGGGAAGAAAUCGUACGGGUUAAUACCCUGUGCGGAUGACGGUACCGGCAUAAGAAGCACCGGCUAACUACGUGCCAGCAGCCGCGGUAAUACGUAGGGUGCGAGCGUUAAUCGGAAUUACUGGGCGUAAAGCGUGCGCAGGCGGUUUUGUAAGACAGGCGUGAAAUCCCCGGGCUCAACCUGGGAACUGCGCUUGUGACUGCAAGGCUAGAGUAUGGCAGAGGGGGGUGGAAUUCCACGUGUAGCAGUGAAAUGCGUAGAGAUGUGGAGGAACACCAAUGGCGAAGGUAGCCCCCUGGGCCAAUACUGACGCUCAUGCACGAAAGCGUGGGUAGCAAACAGGAUUAGAUACCCUGGUAGUCCACGCCCUAAACGAUGUCAACUAGUGUUGGGUGGGUAAAACCAUUUAGUACCGUAGCUAACGCGUGAAGUUGACCGCCUGGGGAGUACGGCCGCAAGGUUAAAACUCAAAGGAAUUGACGGGGACCCGCACAAGCGGUGGAUGAUGUGGAUUAAUUCGAUGCAACGCGAAAA
rnacentral:rRNA from 1 species